CGUGUAGGCGGAGUGUUAGGUGUCGAGUGAAAGCCCCGGGCUCAACCCGGGAAUUGCUCGGCAAACCGGCAUUCUUGAGGCAGGCAGAGGUGACUGGAACGACUGGUGGAGCGGUGAAAUGCGUAGAUAUCAGUUGGAACGCCGGAGGCGAAAGCGGGUCGCUGGGCCUGUCCUGACGCUGAGACGCGAAAGCGUGGGUAGCGAAGA
rnacentral:rRNA from 1 species